UACCACGAAGAACCAUGGGAAGUGCAGUUCCCGUGACUACAGGCUCUCCAUUCUUUCCGCCGGCUGCUGCGAUUUCUCAUCAUUUGAGAAGCCAAAUCAUCGCAGGGUGGCCCUCUACAGCUAGGAGGUAUUGAUUGUGGGGUAUUUAUGUUGAUGUCAAGUCCCAAAACUACUCACCCAGGAAGUAACAAAUGCAGAUAACAUGAAAUUCACUCCACCUGAGUCAGAUGUCAUGGAGAUCACCCAGACAACAGAAGUAGAUCACACAGGACUCAGCGGUGAUGAGAAACAUUCAGCUGACCUGUGAGUGGGUAAAGGA